GUUGUGCCCUUGAGGCGUGGCUUCCGGAGCUAACGCGUUAAGUCGACCGCCUGGGGAGUACGGCCGCAAGGUUAAAACUCAAAUGAAUUGACGGGGGCCCGCACAAGCGGUGGAGCAUGUGGUUUAAUUCGAUGCAACGCGAAGAACCUUACCUGGCCUUGACAUCCACGGAAUUCGGCAGAGAUGCCUUAGUGCCUUCGGGAACCGUGAGACAGGUGCUGCAUGGCUGUCGUCAGCUCGUGUUGUGAAAUGUUGGGUUAAGUCCCGCAACGAGCGCAACCCUUAUCCUUUGUUGCCAGCGAGUAAUGUCGGGAACUCAAAGGAGACUGCCGGUGACAAACCGGAGGAAGGUGGGGAUGACGUCAAGUCAUCAUGGCCCUUACGGCCAGGGCUACACACGUGCUACAAUGGCGCAUACAAAGAGAAGCGAACUCGCGAGAGCAAGCGGACCUCACAAAGUGCGUCGUAGUCCGGAUCGGAGUCUGCAACUCGACUCCGUGAAGUCGGAAUCGCUAGUAAUCGUAGAUCAGAAUGCUACGGUGAAUACGUUCCCGGGCCUUGCACUCACCGCCCGUCA
rnacentral:rRNA from 1 species